rnacentral:rRNA from 1 species
GACAGAGGGUGCAAACGUUGUUCGGAAUUACUGGGCGUAAAGCGCACGUAGGCGGCUUUGUAAGUCAGAGGUGAAAUCCCGGGGCUCAACUCCGGAACUGCCUUUGAGACUGCAUCGCUUGAAUCCAGGAGAGGUGAGUGGAAUUCCGAGUGUAGAGGUGAAAUUCGUAGAUAUUCGGAAGAACACCAGUGGCGAAGGCGGCUCACUGGACUGGUAUUGACGCUGAGGUGCGAAAGCGUGGGGAGCAAACAGG